GGUCGCAUGGUCUAACGGUUAUGAUUUCUGCUUAACAGGUUCUCGCUUUUACCAAGCAAAGUCCCGAAAAACGCAGAAGGUUAUGGGUUCGAUUCCCAUUGCGACUA
rnacentral:tRNA from 1 species